AUUGAACGCUGGCGGCAUGCUUUACACAUGCAAGUCGAACGGUAACAGGGAGCUUGCUCCGCUGACGAGUGGCGAACGGGUGAGUAAUGCGUCGGAACGUGCCGAGUAGUGGGGGAUAACGCAGCGAAAGUUGUGCUAAUACCGCAUACGUACUGAGGUAGAAAGUGGGGACCUUCGGGCCUCACGCUAUUCGAGCGGCCGACGUCUGAUUAGCUAGUAGGUGAGGUAAAGGCUCACCUAGGCGACGAUCAGUAGCGGGUCUGAGAGGAUGAUCCGCCACACUGGGACUGAGACACGGCCCAGACUCCUACGGGAGGCAGCAGUGGGGAAUUUUGGACAAUGGGCGAAAGCCUGAUCCAGCCAUGCCGCGUGUCUGAAGAAGGCCUUCGGGUUGUAAAGGACUUUUGUCGGGGAGGAAAUCCCCAGCGCUAAUACCGCUGGGGGAUGACAGUACCUGAAGAAUAAGCACCGGCUAACUACGUGCCAGCCGCCGCGGUAAUAC
rnacentral:rRNA from 1 species